GACGAACGCUGGCGGCGUGCCUAAUACAUGCAAGUCGAACGCACAGUUUAUACCGUAGCUUGCUACACCAUAGACUGUGAGUUGCGAACGGGUGAGGAACGCGUAGGUAACCUGCCGGGUAGCGUGGGGUAACUAUGGGAAACGAUAGCUAAUACCGCAUAAUAUUAAUUAUUGCAUGGUAAUUAAUGGAAAGGUGCAAUUGCACCACUACCAGUCGGACCUGCGGUGGAUUAGCUAGUAGGUGAGGUAACGGCGCACCUAGGCGACGAUACAUAGCCGACCGGCGAGGGUGGUCGGCCGCCCUGGGACUGUGACACGCCCCAGACGCCUACGGGAGGCGGCCGUAGUGCAACUGCGGCAAUGGACGAAAGUCUGACCGAGCAACGCCGCGGGAGUGAAGAAGGUUUUCGGAUCGUAAAGCUCUGUUGUAAGGGAAGAACGGGUGUGCGAGUGGAAAGUUCACACUGUGACGGUAUCUUACCAGAAAGGGACGGCUAACUACGUG
rnacentral:rRNA from 1 species